GAUCAUGGCUCAGGAUGAACGCUAGCUACAGGCUUAACACAUGCAAGUCGAGGGGCAGCAUUUUAGUUUGCUUGCAAACUAAAGAUGGCGACCGGCGCACGGGUGAGUAACACGUAUCCAACCUGCCGAUAACUCGGGGAUAGCCUUUCGAAAGAAAGAUUAAUAUCCGAUAGUAUAUUAAAAACCGCAUGGUUUUACUAUUAAAGAAUUUCGGUUAUCGAUGGGGAUGCGUUCCAUUAGUUUGUUGGCGGGGUAACGGCCCACCAAGACUACGAUGGAUAGGGGUUCUGAGAGGAAGGUCCCCCACAUUGGAACUGAGACACGGUCCAAACUCCUACGGGAGGCAGCAGUGAGGAAUAUUGGUCAAUGGACGAGAGUCUGAACCAGCCAAGUAGCGUGAAGGAUGACUGCCCUAUGGGUUGUAAACUUCUUUUAUAUGGGAAUAAAGUAUUCCACGUGUGGGAUUUUGUAUGUACCAUAUGAAUAAGGAUCGGCUAACUCCGUG
rnacentral:rRNA from 1 species